AUUCAAACGACAAUUUUGGAACCUUCGAUUUCAGUUCAAACCUCAAUUUAAAAUGAUUUAGAAGACAGAUUAUAAUAAUGUAAUUCGAGACGAUUUGAGUGAGGUUAGGUGCAAUUUGAGGGUGGGGAUAGGAAAUCCAACUAGGACUAAGAACACCUUCCCUAACAGCAUUUGCCACCCAAUUUGCGCACCUGUUAGCUGAUCUAGGAACAUAACAAAGAAGAAAACCAGGAUAGUUUAACAAAGCUAUUCUAAUAUCAUGAAUGAUGGCUUCAACUUCCCAAGGAACUGAUAGGUAAGGAGAAGAAGAUAACUUAAUGAUCUGCAGAGAGUCAGAUUCCAAAGUGCAGGAAGACAAGCCUCGACUUAUGGCAAAAUGUAGAGCUGCUCUAACUGCAAAUCCUUCAGCUGCUAAAGGAGAAAAGCAAGGAAAGGAAACAGCACACCCAUCAAUAAGAUAACCUGGAAACAGCACACCCAUCAAUAAGAUAACCUGUAGCAUUGCGCAUCACUAUACCAAGACCUGCAAUAGCAUUCUUAUGCUCAAAAGAUGCAUCAGUAUUAAGCUUAACAUGACCAAUAGCUGGAGGGGACCAAGACCUCAUCCUAUCACUGAAUUGAGCUUGAGAAGUAGGCAAAGAAAGAACUGGCGAAGACAUUAUAGUUUGCAUCUCUUCAAGGGCAUUCUGUGCCUGUUUAAAAGUUUGCACUGGGUUUGGGUUGGAUGACUAAAAAAUGGCUGCGUUUCUGGCUUUCCAAAUACUCCAACAUAUAAAGCAAACAAGCUUGAUAGUCCGCUGAUCUGGUUGAGAGAAAAAAUCCAUGAGGUGGUGAAACCAGUCUCUAAAAGAUCCAUAGUCAUUACUAGUGGGAUGGAAUCCCACCAUCGAUCCAAACCAAGUAGCCUUUGCAUGACUACAAAAUAAGAGGAGAUGCUUUAAAGAUUCUUCUAGGUAAUCACAUAGAGGGCAGGUUGGAGAAUUGGAGCAACCUCUCUUAAAUAAAUUUGCUCUAGUUGAAAGUGAGUUAUGGCAUGCUCUCCACAUGAAAGUCCUAAUCUUUGGUGGCACUUUAAGGGACCAUAACUUAUUCCAAAAUGAUUG
rnacentral:misc_RNA from 1 species